rnacentral:misc_RNA from 1 species
GAUGAAGAACGUAGCGAAAUGCGAUACGUAAUGUGAAUUGCAGAAUUCAGUGAAUCAUCGAGUCUUUGAACGCACAUUGCGCCCCCUGGUAUUCCGGGGGGCAUGCCUGUCCGAGCGUCAUUGCUGCCCUCAAGCACGGCUUGUGUGUUGGGCCUCCGUCCUCCUCCCGGGGGACGGGCCCGAAAGGCAGCGGCGGCACCGCGUCCGGUCCUCGAGCGUAUGGGGCUUCGUCACCCGCUCUUGUAGGCCCGGUCGGCGCUUGCCGACACAUCAAUCUUUUUUCCAGGUUGACCUCGGAUCAGGUAGGGAUACCCGCUGAACUUAAGCAUAUCAAUAGCGGAGA